UCUCUAUGGCACUUUAGUCCUCCAGGACGCCCCUCAGUCGGCUGACGCUCGUCUCCACGGCACUUUAGUCCUCCAGGAGCCCAGAAGUGCCCGCUCAGUCCUCCCACGCUCGUCUCUAUAGCACUUUAGUCCUCCAGGAACCCUCUCAGUCCUCCCACGCGCCUCUCUAUGGCACUUUAAUCCUCCAGGACGCCCCUCAGUCAGCCGACAUGCCUCUCCAUGGCACUUUAGUUCUCCACUACGCCCCUCAGUCCACUGACGCGCCUCUCUAUGGCACUUUAAGUCCUCCAGGACAUCCCGCAGUCCGCCGACACGCGUCUCCAUGGCGAUUUAGUCCUCUAGGAUCCAGGAAGUGCUCAUCAGUCUUCUGGAAAUCACCUGCUUCCAGCACUCUUCUAAAACCAUAAAACAUGAUUACCAAUUAACCACAAAAAUAUCUGAAGAUUGCAAAAAUAAAGUGACGCCUGCAGAACUCUCUUCUCUACAGCAACAAGUAGACAGAACUUAAACAAAAGCGAUGCAGAGGGACAAGAUGUGCACCAAAGAGUCAUGGAGAAGGCAAGCGGGACCCUGUAAGAAGGUGCAGGAUGCAGGCUCAGAGGGACUAAGCCGCAUGCUGAUGAGCGUGCUGAGAAGGUGCCCUGUGAGCCAUCUUUGGAAGUGGGUGAGCAUUAGAG